rnacentral:rRNA from 1 species
AGAGUUUGAUCCUGGCUCAGAUUGAACGCUGGCGGCAGGCCUAACACAUGCAAGUCGAGCGGAUGAAGGGAGCUUGCUCCUGGAUUCAGCGGCGGACGGGUGAGUAAUGCCUAGGAAUCUGCCUGGUAGUGGGGGAUAACGUCCGGAAACGGGCGCUAAUACCGCAUACGUCCUGAGGGAGAAAGUGGGGGAUCUUCGGACCUCACGCUAUCAGAUGAGCCUAGGUCGGAUUAGCUAGUUGGUGGGGUAAAGGCCUACCAAGGCGACGAUCCGUAACUGGUCUGAGAGGAUGAUCAGUCACACUGGAACUGAGACACGGUCCAGACUCCUACGGGAGGCAGCAGUGGGGAAUAUUGGACAAUGGGCGAAAGCCUGAUCCAGCCAUGCCGCGUGUGUGAAGAAGGUCUUCGGAUUGUAAAGCACUUUAAGUUGGGAGGAAGGGCAGUAAGUUAAUACCUUACUGUUUUGACGUUACCAACAGAAUAAGCACCGGCUAACUUCGUGCCAGCAGCCGCGGUAAUACGAAGGGUGCAAGCGUUAAUCGGAAUUACUGGGCGUAAAGCGCGCGUAGGUGGUUCAGCAAGUUGGAUGUGAAAUCCCCGGGCUCAACCUGGGAACUGCAUCCAAAACUACUGAGCUAGAGUACGGUAGAGGGUGGUGGAAUUUCCUGUGUAGCGGUGAAAUGCGUAGAUAUAGGAAGGAACACCAGUGGCGAAGGCGACCACCUGGACUGAUACUGACACUGAGUGCGAAAGCGUGGGGAGCAAACAGGAUUAGAUACCCUGGUAG